rnacentral:rRNA from 1 species
CACCGCGGUUAUACGAGAGGCCCAAGUUAACAGACACCGGCGUAAAGAGUGGUCAAGGGCACAACUAACUAAAGCCGAACAUCCCCCUGGCUGUUAUACGCACUCGAAGGAAUGAAGUUCAAUUACGAAAGUGGCUUUAUAUACACCUGACCCACGACAGCUAAGAAA